GUAGGGUGCGAGCGUUGUCCGGAUUUAUUGGGCGUAAAGAGCUUGUAGGCGGCUCGUCUCGUCGGGUGUGAAAACUUGCGGCUUAACCGCAAGCCUGCACCCGAUACGGGCGGGCUAGAGUUCGGCAGGGGAGACUGGAAUUCCUGGUGUAGCGGUGGAAUGCGCAGAUAUCAGGAGGAACACCGGUGGCGAAGGCGGGUCUCUGGGCCGAUACUGACGCUGAGAAGCGAAAGCGUGGGGAGCGAACAGG
rnacentral:rRNA from 1 species